CAGGUUUUCCUCGGACGGCCUCAAUAUUCAGGUAGCAUGAAGUCUAAGCAAUACACUAAAAUUUGCCAAGCUCCAGGUUCAAAUUUGUUAGUCAUCAUUCAGAAUUUAUUGAAGCAGAUUAGAAAACUCUUAACCCCAAAUGUGUCUGCAGAUGACGUGACCAUCAGAUGAUGGAGAAAAAAAAAAGGCAGUGUGAGGAAAUCACUGUUUAUGCGUUGAAAUAUGUACAAAUAAAAUCUUCCAAUAAACUUACAAACUACUUUAAAGGAUGUUUUUAGAUUUAUUUUUAUUUGCUCCCACGUACUCUUUUCCCCACUGCUGUUGUAUCUGAAAUAAUGAGGUCAGUGAUGGUGGUGAUCACACACGCUGCAUGACAAUAUAUUAGGGGGCCAUAAAUUUAUGAACGCACAAAUGUAAUUUACACAACCGGUGAUUUUUUUUUUUUUGCCGGCAGUCCCUCCGGCUUUUAGCGGCUGUGUCUGUCUCACUGUUAAAAUAAAGCUCUGUUCUUCAGCUGUGAAAAAUGACGUGCAGCCUUCUCCAUUGUGGAGAUUGGUCCGGUGGCACUGACC
rnacentral:lncRNA from 1 species